AAGAUUGUAGGUAAUGUGUCUGUAGAAACUGAGUCCAUUAUUUGCUUUUAUAAUAUGCUGUUGCUGUUUCUUUCCGCUAUAGAUUUUUCUCGUAAAUGUAAUCUAAAAAUAAACUUCCAGUUAAGACAAUGAAAUAGAAGAACUUCAUGCUUACACUUGCAUCAGUGGAAGAACUUCAUAUUGGAUAGCGAACCUUGCAAGUAACUAAAAGCCUGAAAUGAGAGCGCUUAAGAACAAUGAGAAGUUUGAUGCAUAGAUGGGAAUUGGCCACUUUUGUAUAUAUAAGUCUACAUCGUCCCAGAUUCGACCAAAGACAUUUAUUUGCUGCUAUGAAUGACGUUCAGCUGCAGGCCUUUAAGUCUCACACAAGUUGCUGGUUCAGUCGCACGAAUGGUCACUGGAAUUCACAAGAGUCACUGGAAAAAUUAGGAGAACCAGUUGAAGUUGCUCAGGUUGAUAUAUUUACAGACAUUUAUCCAGUUUGGAACAUUCAGCAGACAGUGAUGUACAUUUAAAUCAUUAUAAAUAUUAGAGAGGGGCUGUUUUUGCCAGAGAGCUUGGCUGUGAUACACAACUUAAGAUUUUGUACAGUGUAAAUUGUAAGGGUGUUCAAGAUGCAUGUACAGUGUGCACUGAAUGUCAUUAAACUGUAAGAUUUGAGUUAUAAGCUUUUUAUUAAGCUCACAUAAUUAUAGACUUCUCAGAGCUGGCUUAUUUUUACCUACGGUAGCUAUAUAUGAGUGAUCACUGAAAAGUACAUGACACAUUUAAGUACAAAAGUUAUUAUCCCCCGACGGAGGAAUAUAGUCUUGGCGUUGUCCGUCCUUCAGUCCGUCUUUCCGUCCGUCCGUCCGGAGCCAUAUCUAGAAAAUGGUUGGGAAUAUUUAUUUAAAACUUCAUAUACAUGUUAACCAUUAUGCGUUCUUGCGGCCCAUUAAGUUUCAGUCAGAUUGCCCUAGUAACAUCAGAGUUAUGGCUCUUAGAAAUUUCUAGUGUUAACUAUAUAGAGUACUAUAAAUAUGGCAA
rnacentral:lncRNA from 1 species